rnacentral:lncRNA from 1 species
UUUUUUUAACUAACUAACAAUUACCUAAAUAACUAAACACAAUUAAAAAAACACAAAAUAAUCAACUAAAAAAACAAAGAAAUACAAGAUGGAAGAUAUGGACAUUGGUGAGUAAGAUGGGAGGUGUUAAAACGAAAGGGCUAAGUCCACUGCCUCAAAGCCCAUUAGAGAAAAAAUAUAGAAAAAAGAAAAUUAAAUAAAUAAUGAAUAAAUUAAGGGAAAAACGUG